GACGAACGCUGGCGGCGCGCUUAACACAUGCAAGUCGAACGGAAAGGCCCUGCUUCUGUGGGGUGCUCGAGUGGCGAACGGGUGAGUAACACGUGAGUAACCUGCCCUUGAUUCUGGGAUAACUUCAGGAAACUGGGGCUACUACCGGUUAGGAGCUCCUGCUGUAUGGUGGGGGUUGGAAAGUUUCGGCGGUUGGGGAUGGACUCGCGGCUUAUCAGCCUGGUGGUGGGGUAGUGGCUUACCAAGGCUCUGACGGGUAGCCGGCCUGAGAGGGUGACCGGCCACAUUGGGACUGAGAUACAGCCCAGACUCCUACGGGAGGCAGCAGUGGGGAAUAGUGCACAAUGGGCGGAAGCCUGAUGCAGCAACGCCGCGUGCGGGAUGACGGCCUUCGGGUUGUAAACCGCUUUCGCCUGUGACGAAGCGUGAGUGACGGUAAUGGGUAAAGAAGCACCGGCUAACUACGUG
rnacentral:rRNA from 1 species